UAGAUAUUGGAUAAUAUUUUAGUCUGAUCUUUGGGUGCUUCUUUUCUCUUAUUUGAUAGAUCACUUCAGUUUCACAAUUUCUCUUGUUAUUUCAAUAAUUACCCUACUACUAUUUCCAGGUUGUUGCACUCUAUAUGCAUAGUGAGUUGAUUUUUUCACAUUUGUGCCUGCAAUAUCUGGUCUAAAUCAUUCAAACUGACAUUUGGCGAGGAUAGGCUUCCCAUGCUAUUUUAGAUACAAUAUUUAUAGUCGGUGCUACAUGAACUGAGCACCUACUGUAAAUAUAUUUAAAAUCAAAAUACAAUUUUGGAAACAGGGCACUAAAGCUAGCUCUGUUUGAGAUCUAAUCUUUUGCGAUCAAACCUAACCAAGAAACAACACAACAAGAUUAUGUCCAGCUGGGUGUACAUCGGCUGAUGAUGUCCACUUCAUUUCUAAAUGCGUUAACUCUGAAACACAAAUAGCUUGAAUCAUAUGGGAUUGCCGCGCUUGGUUGCCGCGGCUGCUUCGGUUCGAAUGCUCUUCGGUUGCUGCUGUGGUAAGCGUGACUUGUCUUGCUCUUCCUUCCAAUCUUGCAGCCUGGGUUCUUGGCUACUUGGUUUAGGUUAUGUCGUAGAUGAUGGCUCAAACUGGGUUUAGCCUAUAGACACGUCAGUGACAUAGGUCAGGCUCCAUUUCCUGCCAAAGAUUUAAAAAAAUCUCAGAAACUGAAUACCUGCAGAGUGCCAUGGUCUAAACAGCAGGGGAAGGAACAUAAUUGUUCAGGAUCUCUCGGUAUUGUUAUUGAGCUAAAAAUAAGAUCUGACUGAUUUAGCUACAGCUGACUUUACACUGAAUCAAAAUGCAAAAUAAUGAUUUACUUCAUGUGUUUUCUCUGCUUUCAUUGUUCUUCCAUUGGUAUUGUCCAUCUUCUGGAUUAGGGUGUUCUAAUCUAACUACCAUGGUUCCCCAACAUCUCUGAUGUUUAUUUGCGUUCUGGGUUGUUGGCUCUUUAGUUUAGGUUAUGUUAUAGGUGAUAACUCAAAAUGGGAUUAGCUUAUAGGUACAUCAGGAAAGUGCACAUGAGGUUUUCUUCUUCAGUUAUACAGGUCACAUUAAAGAAUCACACAUGUGUUUGAACCUUCCUUAAGAUUAGAGAAUCACACCUAAUUAAUCCAUUGACCAAAUAUAUAUUUGUCAAUGAGGCACCUGUAGAAGGAGAGGGAUCACCAGCGGUUGUAUUUUUUAUUGUUGCAGAUUAUCCUAGCUUAUCAUGGCUAGCUCUAUUUGAACUCUGAAUAGAUUAACAGAUUAAAGAAUUGCACCUAAUUAAUCCGGCGACCAAAUAUAUAUUUGCCAAUGAGACAUUUGUGGAAGGAGAGGGAUACCAAUGCAGGUUGUCUAGAGGUGAUUUGUUGUUAGUUUUGUUAUGUCAUUACGGUACAGACAAUACCACUUGGUUGAUGAUUGAUGAUGGUUUGCUUCUGCCUCAUAGUCAUGUACUAAAUAUAGUCUCCAAACGCUGCAUCCAACCAAUAUUUUUUUGGGUCUUGGAUUUGAACCUACUCUUGGUUUUGGUCAGUUUACCUUCUGCAUUUUCACUGUUAGAGUCAUCUACUGUCCAUGUGUAUCUCAGCUGUCAUAUUUUGCUUGUCGUUGCUGUGUGCUCCAGGUUACUUGCUAAUGUGACCUGCUGCUGGACUUGCCCGUGUUGUCUUCCUAGGAUUUCUUCUUUCUCAGGAUGUUCGUCGUCUCCUAUUCUCCUCUGCAUUUGUUGGACCUGGUCGCUGCUCACUGUCGGUUGUCGUACCAUGGCUACCUGCGUGAGGUGGGCGGCAAUGGUUCCGUCCUUGGAGGCGUGGAGCUUGAGAUCGCUGUUGUCCAAGAGGGGCCUGCGCCCACCCGUUUUUUUUUUCUGGUCAUCCGUGUUGUCUGGUUCGUAGUCUCCGUUCGAGGAAUCGGCCUGGACCUGAGAGAUCCCUGGACGCCUGCGCCUGAUCGUCUUGCCGCCUUCUGUUCCCACCUCGACCGACCACAGGCCUCUGUCUUAGCCUCUCGUCCAACAGCAACUUGACCUCUGAAUCUCGGUACUGUAUUCAGAUACUGAAGUUCAGCAAAGGUUUUCAGUUUGGUUUUGUUACUUACCUCCUAUGUUAGAAACAACAAGCCUUAACUAAGAAGAGUAAAGACUGUUGCUGUUCUGGAAGCUAUGAUGAAGGAGCUGCGACUUCCAGGCCCUGAGUACAUCCACGACGUUGCCGCAUGGGACAGCUUCACGACUAAAGUGGUGUUCUUCCCAUCCAUCCAGUUUAUGCGCGCUUCGGAGGAACCUUACUCACUGUACGGUUACCCGGCAAUGACUCUGGAAGCUGCAAAACGUGAUGCUGCUCGACAGGCUAUCGCGUAUAUGGAGCAAUCUGAGAAGAAAGUGCCUUCGGGUUUCGCAGAUGCUGCUUUCGAGGAAGAGAAGAAAAGAGCGGAGUUUCUCCGUCAUGAAUUGGAGAAGAAUAAAGAAAAGUUGAUCCGAAAGUUCAACCAGCCGAUACAAACCGCGGCAGCAUGUGAUGAGUACAUUGACACUGUAACUGAAUCAAACCGUCGUAUCAAGGAUAUUAUCCUGAAGACGUUGACUCCAGGUUGUACCACUCCACCUCACCAAUGUCAGAGUAGCCUCCUUGAAAUCCAGAAUAUCGCUAUUAGUCUUAGUCAACAUACAGCUAAGGCAAUUGUCAUGGUCAGAGCUGCAGGACCAUCUCCAUUUGGUGAGGACACUUUUCAUAAUGACCGGCUCUCUUCAUCCGGUAACUCAGAUUUGUCGUCAACGAGAUUUGCCCCUCCUGAGUUUGACUCUGAUGGACGUCCUACAGACUAUUCCGUGUAAUCGUUCUUAUCCAGAUUAGGAAUAUUGCUUCCCAUAUCUGAUCAUGGGCAAUAGUCCUUCAAUCUACUAUCCAAUGUUAAACUAGCUGCCAUACUUGGUUUGGAGGAAAGACUUUGUACUGAAAUGGAUUAUCAUAUUGGCAGCUUUUUUCAUCACACUUACACGUCUAUUUCAUCUAUUUUUGUACCGCAUUUGAUCUUUAUAAUCAGUCCAUUUAGUACACAGUCAUGAUCUCUGUGUAUUUGGUCUUCUGUUUUGUCUUUUUAGUUGUACAGCAUA